UACCAGCACCCCGAGUGGUCGGGACGUUUAUUGGGCCUAAAGCAUCCGUAGCCGGUUCUACAAGUCUUCCGUUAAAUCCAACUGCUUAACAGGUGGGCUGCGGAAGAUACUAUAGAGCUAGGAGGCGGGAGAGGCAAGCGGUACUCGAUGGGUAGGGGUAAAAUCCGUUGAUCCAUUGAAGACCACCAGUGGCGAAGGCGGCUACCUGGACAGAUACUGACGCUGAGGCGCGAGAGCGUGGGGAGCAAACAGG
rnacentral:rRNA from 1 species